CAACUCUCAAGCUCUGCUUGGCAUUGGGUGUCACCUCGCAAUUGUGGUGCAUCUCAAAAUCAGUGGUGGUGCCAUCUAGCCCCCGAGUGUAGUAAAAUUUCUCGCUUUGGAGGCUGUGAUAUACGCUAGCCAGCAACAAAUCUUUAAU
rnacentral:misc_RNA from 1 species